rnacentral:snRNA from 1 species
UUGCUUCGGCAGCACAUAUACUUGAAAUUGGAAUGAUACAGAGAAGAUUAGCAUGGCCCCCACACAAGGAUGACACACAAAUUUGUGGAGCGUUCCAUAUUGUA